GAUUUACGUCUUCCUCUCUUUGCUAACGGUUGCUGUUUCUACUUUUCUUCCCCUUUUCUACUCUUUCUAUACCCAGAAGCAGCGGAACUGGCAACACCUUGGUGCCCUAGACGGAAACCUCAGUCCCGACUGAAGCGUAUUCAUCACCAACACUGGGAUAGCUGCAGCUAGGGCCACACAAUAAAAAUAGCCCAGGACGGCACUGGCUAUCCGCUGCCCCUUCAGCUAUAGAAUUCCUGUCCUUAAUCGCUUUUAGUUCUGUAACUGCUUGUGGAAACAGCUGAUUACUGGACAGGUGGGAGUACGAAAGGCGUUUAGUAAGACUGCAAAUCUGAUGUGAACUGGUAGGACGCAGAGUGUAUGGCAUAGUCAAGAAAGAAGUCAACGCCAGGCGAGGUGCUAUGGCUAAGGGAUUAAUCUUUUGUGUCCCAACUAUGUUGCUCUGACGGUUCCACUUGCACUACUGGUUUUUACUUCAUCGUUAAUCUCUGCUCUGGCCGAUAACAGCCUGCAUGAAAACAUCACCAGUUUUCAAGUUUUUCUCAGGAUGAACAGUACAUAGAAAAGUGAGCCUGAAUGCUGAGAUCCUGAGACCGUGCUGCGGCGCCUGGGAAUUCAUAGAGCAGCUUUUAAGGGGCCACCACUUCUCGCAUCGUGUGCCAUGCAAGUAAACCUACCCUAUCCUGAGACCCUUGCCUGGGGUGACUGGAAGAGCUGCUUCUGUAGAAUCCUGGGCCAGACCAUCUAUCUGGACGAAUAGGAGAAAAGCCUAGUUGUUGUCUCCUGCAAGAUGUAUUCAGUUGUAAUUUCGCCUUUGUUCCUUAAUCUGUUAGUAUGGUAUAUUACAUCGAUUAAUAUUUCAU
rnacentral:lncRNA from 1 species